UCUAGUGAUGAUGGCAUAGAGGAAACAUUCUUUCCCAUUUCGAACAGGAAAGUUAAGCUCUAUAACUCCGAUGGUACUGCAUGGGAAACUGUGUGGAAGAGUAGGAAAUUGCUAGGUA
rnacentral:rRNA from 1 species